UGACAGGUCCAAGGCAGCUGUCUAGCACAACACGGGACAGGCUGAAGUCAUCUCUGAAGACAUCUGCUGCUCUGAAAUGAGAUGUGAUGAGUAACAUGAGUAAAGGUGAAUGAACCAGGGAAGCAAGAUGCAUGUGCAUGUCCAGCGUGGCCCGACUGAGAUAAUGUGGGAGUCUCUGGUGAUGAUGGGCCCAAGUUCUCAACACUAGCUGGGGAAUUUCUUUUUGUAGUGAAGCUUGGCGUUACAUCCCCACCAAAAAAAGACAUCGUAGUCACUGGCGGUGGUGACCGCCUCUGGAAAAUGUGGGCUUUACGUGAUGGGAACAUCAUCCUGACAGGUGAAGGUCACACUGAUUGCCUUUCGGGCUGCUGCUUCCAUCCGAGUGGCACCCAAGUGGUCACUUUGAGUGGAGAUAGAACAGUGCGAAUAUGGGACUUGGCAAAGCGCAGGUGCAUUCUGACUUUAGGAGGACACAUCUGCACCGUGUGGGACUGCUCCUGGUGUUCACGUGGGGAUUUCGUGGCUUCUGCCUCCAUGGACAAAACGGGCAAAAUAUGAAGUGUUAACAGUGAGAGAUGCCGGUGCAUGAUGGGUGGCCGUAAAGAUUCAGUCAACAGCACUGGGGUUCUUCUGUUUUCCAGCACUGUGCUCACUAGCUCUGCUGACGAGACUUUAUCUCUCUGGGAUGCCAGUAGGAGGCUGAUGGAGCGCUGGAACAACUCCCCAGGGAAGCAGUCACAGCCCCAAGCCUGACAAUAUUCUAGAAGCAUUUGGCCAAUGCCCUCAGCCCCACGGUGUGGACGUUGGGGUUGUCCUGUGCAGGGACAGGAGCUGGACUUGAUGGUCCCUUUGGGUCCCUUCCAACUCACGAUGUUCGAUGAUGCUGACACGUGA